UACGGGGGGGGCAAGCGUUGUUCGGAAUUACUGGGCGUAAAGGGCUCGUAGGCGGCCAACUAAGUCAGACGUGAAAUCCCUCGGCUUAACCGGGGAACUGCAUCUGAUACUGGAUGGCUUGAGUUCGGGAGAGGGAUGCGGAAUUCCAGGUGUAGCAGUGAAAUGCGUAGAUAUUCGAAGGAACACCGAUGGCGUAGGCAGCCAACUGGACAGUAACUGACGCUCAUGCACGAAAGCGUGGGGAUCAAACAGG
rnacentral:rRNA from 1 species